UACAGAGGUCUCAAGCGUUGUUCGGAUUCAUUGGGCGUAAAGCGCACGUAGGCGGCUUACUAAGUCAGGGGUGAAAUCCUGGAGCUCAACUCCAGAACUGCCUUUGAUACUGGUGAGCUUGAGUCCGGGAGAGGUGAGUGGAACUGCGAGUGUAGAGGUGAAAUUCGUAGAUAUUCGCAAGAACACCAGUGGCGAAGGCGGCUCACUGGCCCGGUACUGACGCUGAUGUGCGAAAGCGUGGGGAGCAAACAGG
rnacentral:rRNA from 1 species